AACGCACGUACCCUAUUGAAGCACUUGUUCCUCAAUAAAAGUGAGGGAUAAAUAUUCCCUGCACUAAAAAUUUGAGAAAUCUUUAAAUUUACCUACGAAGAGAGGCACGACUUUAGGAGUCACGUUACUUUUCAAUCCUUUGAUUACCAUUGUUUAUAUCCUUCACCUUGUCUUCCAUUGAAUUGACGAAUGGAAACAUAAAAUUUAGCACAAUUUAUCUGUUUGUACAAUCCAAACCUUCUUUCCUCAUGAUGAGAGUUUAUCUUACAGAGUAAUAUAUAAUCCAGGUCACUAACAUCAAAUAAAAAAUAGCAAAGGUUAGUCAUAUUACGGUGUGAACUAAUGCGGUUUCAGUCAUCUUAGUGAGCUACCAUUUUUUUCAUAUUGAUUCCAUUCAGUGAUCUGAUCUGAAAAAUGAAGAAAACCAAAAAAAUUUAGUGUUCUACUAAUAUAUAAACAACUUAUACAAUCCAAAAAACUUAGCACAAAUUGUAAUUGACUUAGGUCAUUUCUAUAUACGGCUGUUCUAGAAUUAUCACGUGUAUUUUGUGAUGCAUAGUAAGAUUUGUAUUGAAGAAGGAAUGUAUUAUGCUAAUAAAAUUUGCAGUAUAAA
rnacentral:lncRNA from 1 species